ensembl:ncRNA Y38F1A.13 ncRNA
GAGAGAGAGAGAGAGAGAGAGAGAGAGAGAGAGAGAGAGAGAGAGAGAGAGAGAGAGAGAGAGAGAGAGAGAGAGAGAGAGAGAGAGAGAAGGGCGCCAUCUAAGAAAAGGACAGAGAAAGUGUAGAGAAGGACGAACUUGAUAUAACACUACAUGAAACAGAUGAUCUGUAGUGAGAAGCGAUCAAGGGAGGGCGGCAAACGAUUUUUUCCGGCAAAUCGGCGAACCGGCAAUUUGCCGGAAUCGAAAAUUUUCGGCAAAUCGGUAAACCGUCAAAUUGCCGGAAUUAAAAAUUUCCGGCA